rnacentral:rRNA from 1 species
GACGAACGCUGGCGGCGUGCUUAACACAUGCAAGUCGAACGGAAAGGCCCUGCUUUUGUGGGGUGCUCGAGUGGCGAACGGGUGAGUAACACGUGAGUAACCUGCCCUUGACUUUGGGAUAACUUCAGGAAACUGGGGCUAAUACCGGAUAGGAGCUCCUGCUGCAUGGUGGGGGUUGGAAAGUUUCGGCGGUUGGGGAUGGACUCGCGGCUUAUCAGCUUGUUGGUGGGGUAGUGGCUUACCAAGGCUUUGACGGGUAGCCGGCCUGAGAGGGUGACCGGCCACAUUGGGACUGAGAUACGGCCCAGACUCCUACGGGAGGCAGCAGUGGGGAAUAUUGCACAAGGGGCGGAAGCCUGAGGCAGCAACGCCGCGUGCGGGAUGACGGCCUUCGGGUUGUAAACCGCUUUCGCCUGUGACGAAGCGUGAGUGAUGGUAAUGGGUAAAGAAGCACCGGCUAACUACGU